CUCACCCUCGCGGAGGAGAGGAAGCGAGGACCGCACGGCUGGGGAGCGAGGAGACGUGUGGAGUCCGGGGCUCGGGCCGCCUCCACCUCCUCCUGCAGCGGACGCGGCGCGGCGGGCGGCGCACCGGCCGCGUCGGCUACCCUGCGCGCAGGGAGAAGGAGGAGAGUGGCUCGAGGAGACUGGGUUUUCUUGGAUUUGCGGCAGCUCUUAGAACCCGACCAGGCUUCCCGGGAGUUAAAGUGAAUCGCGGGUGGCAGUGUGGAAGCCAAAAACGGGAGCUUCCAGAAGUGGUUUCUGAAAAAUAGGAGUGAAUAUACACGAGUAAGCUAGUACUGGAAUCAGAAAAACCACAGUCUUUCAACCAGUCCUUUGCAACGUACUGAAGAUAAUUCUGUCAUCAGAUGCUGACUUGACUGCACAGAUUCCCCGGUUCAUCAGUGAGCUGCAUAUUCUAUAUUUUGUGGCUAUAUGCUAUUUCCUUCGCGCAGCCCAAAGAAUCUUUUUCUCUUGGAACCCACUAACCUUAGACUCUUCCUUCCCUGGGGUGCCGCCUUGUGGUGGGCUGUGGGUCCUUCACCGACAAACUCCUGCACUGGUUAGUCAUGGAGGAAAGUGAGUCAGCCAUUGUGUGACUCAUUGCAAACCCAGCUCAGAGUAACAGGCUCCCAUCAUACACCCAAGAGACCACGAAUCAUUAGGCUGAGACAACCUGCUGGUGGAUACUAUUUGGAAUAACUCCCCUAUUGUGAUUUUUCUUCAACUCUUUUCCCUCCUACUAUAAAUGGACUUAGAAGAAACAUUAAGAAGAGAAUGAAGGGCAGCCCUGGUGGCUCAGCCGUUUAGCGCUGCCUACAGCCCAGGGCGUGACCCUGGAGACCCGGAAUCGAGUCCCACGUAGGGCUCCCUGCAUGGAGCCUGCUUCUCCCUCUGCCUCUCUUCCUCAUUCUCUCUCUGUCUCUCUCGC